UACGGGGGGAGCAAGCGUUGUUCGGAUUUACUGGGCGUAAAGGGCGCGUAGGCGGCGCAACAAGUCACUUGUGAAAUCUCUGGGCUCAACCCAGAACGGUCAAGUGAUACUGUCGUGCUAGAGUGCAGAAGGGGCAACUGGAAUUCUCGGUGUAGCGGUGAAAUGCGUAGAUAUCGAGAGGAACACCUGCGGCGAAGGCGGGUUGCUGGGCUGACACUGACGCUGAUGCGCGAAAGCCAGGGGAGCGAACGGG
rnacentral:rRNA from 1 species